GAAUUGAAUUUUGUUUUUUGCUCGGUAUCUACGGUUACUUUGGUCGAACGUUACGAUGAAAUGAUUUUGGAUUUUGCCUUUUUCUUCUUCGAGCGUUUUUGCGAGGUGUUUUUUACGCAUAAAUAACAGGAGUUUUUCUAGCACGAAAUCCGCCGGAAAUACUUCGACCUUGUGCCUUGCUGGAAUUGUUCGCUGCGAUAAUACCGUGAAAGAACGGUUAAUUAUUGUCACCACAUUCACCGUCACCGGAGGUGUAAUGACGUGCACCCGUACCAUUUCUUGGUCUGAAACAGAAAAAACCACAUUCAUCGUUCUGCGAGGUCUUCUUGACCUGCGUGAUGCACGAUUUGGAUAGCUCGACCCCCGAGGGUACUCGGCAUAAUUUUGUGGCGGUGGUUGAUUAUACGAUUCGCGAUAUUGGUCAGGCGGAUACCGAUUGCCUGCAUUUUGCU